UACAAUGGGUUGCCAAGCCGCGAGGCGGAGCCAAUCCUAAAAAGCUGGCCUCAGUUCAGAUUGCAGUCUGCAACUCGACUGCAUGAAGUUGGAGUUGCUAGUAACCGCAGGUCAGCAAUACUGCGGUGAAUACGUUCCCGGGGAUU
rnacentral:rRNA from 1 species